rnacentral:lncRNA from 1 species
GGGGAGGAGAGGAGGGGAGGAGAGGAGAGGAGGAGAGGAGGAGAGGAGAUGAGGAGAUGAGGAGAGGAGGGGAGGAGAUGAGGAGAGGAGGAGGGGAGGAGAGAGGAGGAUUCCAAAGCUUCGUUACACCUUUGGUCUUUUUAUAGCAGCGUUGAGCGUCAGAAUGGGUUUUCAGACACUAACGACCCGCUGCCAAGCGAGCCGAGCGACCGGAGAGAAUUUAGAACCCUCUGGUGUUCCCUUCUGUGAGUUUGAGUCGAGCAUUUCUGUUUCUCAUUGAGCCCGAGAGAGACACAGAAAUACACACACACACACACACACACACACACACACACACACACACACACACACACACACACACACACACACACACACACACACACACACACACACACACACACACACACACACACACACACACACACACACACACCUACAAGCUGAGCUCUAUUAGUAUUUGAUCCUGCAGGCAGACAGAGAGCUAGUUAGGCUCCUCUCUGUCUCUGUCUCCUGCUAGAUGAGCUGUGUACUUGUGUGUGUGUGUGUGUGUGUGUGUGUACAUGUGUGUGUGUGUGUGAAUGUUAACUGGAGAACAGCUACCUGGGUAGUAUGUUGUUUUUAUGAGCAGAAAUCCACAGGAAGGUGGUUUUAAUUCAACCGAAGAGAGAAUCUGACCCACAUCCACCUGAUAAUACAGUUAAAUCAGUGUUCUACUUUAUGAGUUAUUUUAACUGGAGAGACGAGUUUCUGUGAAGAUGGAUGUUGGUAAUAUGAUAUUUUUAAAAAAUGACGCAUUGGAGGCUAGACAAGUUCACUCUUCAUCAUUUUUGACUUGCAAGGUCUCCAUUUUAGUCUCAGCUGUGAUGCUGGUCGAAAAAGUUUCACAAAAAAGUGAAAUAAAACAUUUUGUUCAGAGUGAGAUUAAAGGUGACCGAAGGAGGGGGGGGGGGGAAGAGUGAGAGAUAACAGAGGAGAGGAAGAGGGAGAGAUAACAGAAGAAACGAAGAGGGAGAGAUAACAGAAGAGAGGAGAGAGGUAACAGAACAGAGGAUAGAGAGAGAGGUAACAGAAGAGAGGAGAGAGAGAUAACAGAAGAGAGGAGAAGAGAGGUAACAGAAGAGAGGAUAGAGAGAGAUAACAGAAGAGAGGAGAAGAGAGUAUGUUUCUAGUCGUAGUUAGCUUGUUGGUGACCUCCUUCCAAAUACUUUUUGCACAUGUAAGGAAGUUAAAACGUAUUUUUUUCCCCCAGACACAGACUAUUUGCUUCCCAAAUGGCACCCUUUUCCCUAUGUAGUACACUUGUUUUGACCGGGACCAUACGGCUCCUGUCAAACGUAGUGCACUGUGUAGAGAAUACGAUGCCAUUUUGGGAGCGUGGAAACUGUCCCCCUCUGCUCAUUCUCUUUGACUUUUCUCCUCCCGUGUUAACAUAUCCAGUGGUUUACUGUGCUCCUCCCAUAUCCAGUGGUUUACUGUGCUCCUCCCAUAUCCAGUGGUUUACUGUGCUCCUCCCAUAUCCUGUGGUUUACUGUGCUCCUCCCAUAUCCAGUGGUUUACUGUGCUCCUCCCAUAUCCAGUGGUUUACUGUGCUCCUCCCAUAUCCAGUGGUUUACUGUGCUCCUCCCAUAUCCAGUGGUUUACUGUGCUCCUCCCAUAUCCAGUGGUUUACUGUGCUCCUCCCAUAUCCUGUGGUUUACUGUGCUCCUCCCAUAUCCAGUGGUUUACUGUGCUCCUCCCAUAUCCAGUGGUUUACUGUGCUCCUCCCAUAUCCAGUGGUUUACUGUGCUCCUCCCAUAUCCAGUGGUUUACUGUGCUCCUCCCAUAUCCAGUGGUUUACUGUGCUCCUCCCUCCCAUGUUAACAUGUCCAGUGGUCUCAAGCCUACAGUAGACAGAGGGGUGUUCGACUCUGGUGAGAUAUAAUGGGUGAUGAUUUCGAUGCAAGGUGAUCGAUAAAUUAUAAUGCGAUUUUUUUUGAGCGCUUGGAACAUUAUUGAAUAUAUUUUCUGUCCUAGUUUUUUGUCCGUAACUCACGUUGAAUUCCCCACAUUCUGAAAUUCUUUAUUUAGAAAACAUUUAUAGAAUUGUUUUUUCCCCCGGUGUAAGAAAUUAAUAUCUACUUUAUUUGAAUUCAUUAAUUAAUGAAUUAAUUAGAUAUUACAUAUAACAGAUUCAGAUAAAUAUUCCUUUCCUGUCUAAGCCACGUUCCCUGUAACAGAUCCUGUAGAGGCUGAUGGCAACAUAGUUGGGUCCCUUUUUUUAUAUUGUAUUUCUAUGUUUUCCAUCUAUCAGUUUUCCAGAGACCUUGUGAAACACGCAGCGUACUCAUAUCAGUAGGACAAUGACUGUCUGCGGGAGCAGCUACCAGUAGAGCCCUCAAAAACCGGUAGAGGAGACAGGACUGGCCCCUCCUGCACCUCGCUGGCAGAACAUGUUAUUGGACCCCCUCUUGGUUGGGGGGGGGGGCCCCUUACCGGCCUCGGGCCCUAAGCAUCUGCUUGUAUGUCUCUUAUUGGCUGGCAAGACAGAUCAGACAUGCAGGACGGAGGUUUUUGCUGUCGACCAAAGGGUUUUGAGAGAAACAAAGGAGUGUACAAAACAUGGACUUAAACAGAAACUGUCAAGAGGAAAAACUGGAAAGCUAAGCAACCUCUGGAAAAAGAGUACAAAGUUAAAGAACAAACAAAACGGUUUUUUUUUUGUACAGAGAUAUAUUUUUAUGGAAAUACAUUUGUAAUAUGAAAAGAGGAGAAAUGGAUUGACAUAUGUGUAAAUGUUUUUUUUUCUUUGUUAUUGUAGUACAGAUUCUAGUGGGGAAUAUACAAAAACAAAUCUCUCUCUCUCUCUCUAUAUAUAUAUAUAUAUAUAUAUAUAGUGUAUAUACAGAUAAAAACAGAAACAAAGAUUUUUGUAAAUGUCAAAAAUAUUGUACAUACAAGUUUCCAUACAUACUGUCCACAUCAGACCCACCAUGGCUUGUCUGCGGUAUAGAACAUGCAUUUUACCCUCCUGUAUAGGAUGAAUUGCUUUGUG